rnacentral:rRNA from 1 species
UACGGAGGGGGCUAGCGUUGUUCGGAAUUACUGGGCGUAAAGCGCACGUAGGCGGCUUUGUAAGUUAGAGGUGAAAGCCCGGGGCUCAACUCCGGAAUUGCCUUUAAGACUGCAUCGCUAGAAUUGUGGAGAGGUAAGUGGAAUUCCGAGUGUAGAGGUGAAAUUCGUAGAUAUUGGGAAGAACACCGGUGGCGAAGGCGGCUCACUGGCUCAUUACUGACGC